CGUUGUUAAAGUUGAUUGGGGACUAUGAUCCUAUAUUUUUGGAAAUACCAUAUGAUUUUGCAACCUUUUUGUGGGGAGAACAACUUCCAUAUGUCAAUGUCUUAAAAUUAUUGAUGAUGAUUUAUCGUGUUUAUUUUGGAUGGUCCGGAGUUUUUGGCUGCAACUAUGUUAGACAGAGAUAUGCUUGCUAUUGCUGUAAAUUGGUACCAUGUCGGUUGGUUUUGCUUGGUAAGAUUUGUGACGAUGCGUCGGACAAACAACAUUGGGAAAAUAUACAGCCUUGAUCCUUGAUGACCAAUGUAUAUCUCUAUUUGAGGAAUUCUCCAAAGAUCCAGAGCCGAUUGUUUCAUAAAGCUGUGAAGUUGCGUUAAACAUACUAGAUUUUGAACGAUCCGACAAACCAUUCGAGGUACUUGGAAGAUUAAGUCUCUUAUCUGGGUGGUUGUUACAGGUUUAGGAUGUUAAAUGAUUUUGGAUGUACUCUGCGAUGUCGAUGAUGCCGAGAUGUUGGAGAAGCUCAGGUUAACAACUUCAUGUGUAUAUUUUAAUGAAUAAAGUUUUUGUUGUUUAUAUUUUCUAAUUUAAACUUUUAAUUAACUUCUAAAUUUAAUUAAAUGAGUUUGUUUUGCAGGUUCGAACAACUUCAUGUGUAUAUUUUAUUAUAAAAAAUAAAAGUUUUUUUUUGUUUCAUGGGUCGUUCAGAGAGGCAAGUUUCUGCCUCCGGUUCUUGCCCGAAGUUUCUGACCUUACUUGUGACAACCCGAACUCUCGACCGUGAUCGUCGAGAGGAGUAAUCUAUUUUAUCAUUAUUAUUAUUAUUUGUUUAUCGGAUAAUAAAACACGCGACGGACGAUUUAUUUAAUUACGCAUCUAGUUAACAUAAUUGGGCCUAAUUUGUUUUCGCUAGAAAUCCACACACACGCACUUGGGCUAGGCCCAACCUACCUAAACCUAGUGUUUAAACAUCCCUAUACCUCUCACCCCUAUUUAAAAAAAAAAAAAUAAACAUAAAAACCCUAACCUAAAAUAAUAGCCGCACACCACGCACUUCUCCAUGCCUCUUCUUCAUCUCCGACGGCCGGAAGUUCCGGUGCCCCUUUCACCAACCGUAGCACACCCUCAUACAUUUACAACCCUCCUUCAUUCUAUUUGAUCAAGCCCUCACAAGACCCCAUCUCCCCUUAUCUUGUUCCCACACGCACACCCCUGCACAGUAGAGAUAGAGAGAGAGAGAGAGAGCAAAGAUAGAACCGGCGACGACCGGAGACGCCGCUCAUGUCCGCAGUGACGGCGUUUUCUCCUUCUCCGAUGGUGAUAAAGCUGUGAAGACGCUGAUUCAGCAACAGAUUUUGAGCGGGUUCGAGCUCGGUUCGGACUUGGGUUCGAAUCACGGAUGUUUCGGGUUUGUUCCGGGUCUCGGUUCAGAAAAGGAAGUAGCAGGACGUGAUUGACCUACCUUGACUGUUAACCAUUUUUAAGAGACCAACCGAGCAAACCAAAGGUAAUUAUUGAAGGAACUUGGGAGCUUGCUGUCUGAUGCUGCUGGAGUGGUUGUGGUCAUAA